CUUCACCGAGCCGAGCAGCAACGGCUGUUCCUGCGCCCGCUCCCGGCCGUACGUCGCGAUCAGCGCCUGGGCCUC
rnacentral:antisense_RNA from 1 species